rnacentral:rRNA from 1 species
UACGAAGGGGCUAGCGUUGCUCGGAAUCACUGGGCGUAAAGCGCACGUAGGCGGCUUUUUAAGUCAGGGGUGAAAUCCUGGAGCUCAACUCCAGAACUGCCUUUGAUACUGAGAAGCUUGAGUCCGGGAGAGGUGAGUGGAACUGCGAGUGUAGAGGUGAAAUUCGUAGAUAUUCGCAAGAACACCAGUGGCGAAGGCGGCUCACUGGCCCGAUACUGACGCUGAUGCACGAAAGCGUGGGGAGCAAACAGG